UUAUUCCGAUCCCGAGUUGGGA
rnacentral:snRNA from 1 species